rnacentral:rRNA from 1 species
AGUGAACGCUGGCGGUAGGCCUAACACAUGCAAGUCGAACGGCAGCACAGUAAGAGCUUGCUCUUACGGGUGGCGAGUGGCGGACGGGUGAGGAAUACAUCGGAAUCUACUUUUUCGUGGGGGAUAACGUAGGGAAACUUACGCUAAUACCGCAUACGACCUACGGGUGAAAGCAGGGGAUCUUCGGACCUUGCGCGAUUGAAUGAGCCGAUGUCGGAUUAGCUAGUUGGCGGGGUAAAGGCCCACCAAGGCGACGAUCCGUAGCUGGUCUGAGAGGAUGAUCAGCCACACGGGAACUGAGACACGGUCAAGACUCCUACGGGAGGCAGCAGUGGGGAAUAUUGGACAAUGGGCGCAAGCCUGAUCCAGCCAGACCGCGUGGGUGAAGAAGGCCUUCGGGUUGUAAAGACCUUUUGUUGGGAAAGAAAAGCAGCAGGUUAAUACCCAGCUGUUCUGACGGUACCCAAAGAAUAAGCACCGGCUAACUUCGUG